rnacentral:rRNA from 1 species
CAGUAGCCGCGGUAAUACGUAGGGGGCGAGCGUUGUCCGAAGUUACUGGGCGUAAAGAGCGCGUAGGCUGGUCUUUAAGUGAGUGGUGAAAGGUUCGGGCUCAACCCGGACACUGCCUUUCAUACUGGGGACCUUGAGUGUGGGAGAGGCGAGUGGAAUGGUCGGUGUAGCGGUGAAAUGCGUAGAUAUCGAUCGGAACACCCAUGGCGAAGGCAGCUCGCUGGCCUAACACUGACGCUGAGGCGCGAAAGCGUGGGGAGCAAACAGGAUUAGAUACCCGCGUAGUCCCUGUCUCUUAUAA